rnacentral:rRNA from 1 species
UGUGUAGGCGGUUCUUUAAGUUUGGUGUGAAAUCUCCCGGCUUAACCGGGAGGGUGCGCCGAAUACUGAGGGACUAGAGUACGGGAGAGGAAAGUGGAGUUCCUGGUGUAGCGGUGAAAUGCGUAGAUAUCAGGAGGAACACCGGUGGUGUAGACGGCUUUCUGGACCGACACUGACGCUGAAACACGAAAGCGUGGGUAGCAAACAGGAUUAGAUACCCUGGUAGUCCACGCCCUAAACGAUGCAUAUUUGGUGUGGGCAGUUCAUUCUGUCCGUGCCGGAGCUAACGCGUUAAAUAUGCCGCCUGGGGAGUACAGUCGCAAGGCUGAA